GACGAAUGCUGGCGGCGUGCUUAACACAUGCAAGUCGAACGGAAAGGCCCUGCUUUUGUGGGGUGCUCGAGUGGCGAACGGGUGAGUAACACGUGAGUAACCUGCCCUUGACUUUGGGAUAACUUCAGGAAACUGGGGCUAAUACCGGAUAGGAGCUCCUGCUGCAUGGUGGGGGUUGGAAAGUUUCGGCGGUUGGGGAUGGACUCGCGGCUUAUCAGCUUGUUGGUGGGAUAGUGGCUUACCAAGGCUUUGACGGGUAGCCGGCCUGAGAGGGUGACCGGCCACAUUGGGACUGAGAUACGGCCCAGACUCCUACGGGAGGCAGCAGUGGGGAAUAUUGCACAAUGGGCGGAAGCCUGAUGCAGCAACGCCGCGUGCGGGAUGACGGCCUUCGGGUUGUAAACCGCUUUCGCCUGUGACGAAGCGUGAGUGACGGUAAUGGGUAAAGAAGCACCGGCUAACUACGUG
rnacentral:rRNA from 1 species